rnacentral:rRNA from 1 species
AUUGAACGCUGGCGGAAUGCUUCACAUGCAAGUCGAACGGCAGCACGGGGGCAACCCUGGUGGCGAGUGGCGAACGGGUGAGUAAUACAUCGGAACGUGCCCAGUCGUGGGGGAUAACGUAGCGAAAGCUACGCUAAUACCGCAUACGAACUCUGGUUGAAAGCGGGGGAUCGCAAGACCUCGCGCGAUUGGAGCGGCCGAUGGCAGAUUA